ACAUACGACCAUAGGGUGUGGACAACAGGGCUUCCCGUCCGCUCAGCCGUACUUAAGCCACACGCCGGUGAGUUAGUAGUUGGGUGGGUGACCACCAGCGAAUCCUCACUGUUGUAUGUU
rfam:Penicillium freii strain DAOM 242723 scaffold_569, whole genome shotgun sequence.